rnacentral:rRNA from 1 species
GAUGAACGCUAGCGGCAGGCCUAAUACAUGCAAGUCGAGGGGCAGCGGGGUAGCAAUACUGCCGGCGACCGGCGCACGGGUGCGUAACACGUAUGCAACCUACCUUAAAACUGGGAGAUAGCCCGGGGAAACUCGGAUUAAUACCCCAUAACACGGCGACCUCACAUGAGGAUGUCGUUAAAGAUUUAUCGGUUUAAGAU